UUCUAAUUAGAACUUCUUGUCUUUUACAAGUACAUAAUUCUAAGAACCAUCCUCUUACAUCAAGUGUAUGCUGGGGCAACCUCUUUGUUUUUAUAUGUGAAUGUGUGUAACAUUUCAUUAUCUACCAGACUGAUAAAGCAGGAUGGCAGAACCAGUUAGCUUCAGAGUUCUUUUUUGAGGUGACGACGAU